rnacentral:rRNA from 1 species
UACGGAGGAUCCGAGCGUUAUCCGGAUUUAUUGGGUUUAAAGGGUGCGCAGGCGGAAGAUUAAGUCGGUGGUGAAAUUUUGUAGCUCAACUGUAAAAGUGCCUUCGAAACUGGUUUCCUUGAGUGUAGAUGAGGUAGGCGGAAUUUGUGGUGUAGCGGUGAAAUGCUUAGAUAUCACGAGGAACUCCGAUUGCGCAGGCAGCUUACUAAACUACUACUGACGCUCAGGCACGAAGGCGUGGGGAUCAAACAGGAUUAGAUACCCUGGUAGUCCCU